rnacentral:rRNA from 1 species
UGGUUAGCGGCGGACGGGUGAGUAACACGUGGGCAACCUGCCUGUAAGACUGGGAUAACACCGGGAAACCGGUGCUAAUACCGGAUAAUCCUUUCCCUCUCAUGAGGGGAAGUUGAAAGUCGGUUUCGGCUGACACUUACAGAUGGGCCCGCGGCGCAUUAGCUAGUUGGUGAGGUAACGGCUCACCAAGGCGACGAUGCGUAGCCGACCUGAGAGGGUGAUCGGCCACACUGGGACUGAGACACGGCCCAGACUCCUACGGGAGGCAGCAGUAGGGAAUCUUCCACAAUGGACGAAAGUCUGAUGGAGCAACGCCGCGUGAGCGAUGAAGGCCUUCGGGUCGUAAAGCUCUGUUGUUAGGGAAGAACAAGUACCGGAGUAACUGCCGGUACCUUGACGGUACCUAACCAGAAAGCCACGGCUAACUACGUGCCAGCAGCCGCGGUAAUACGUAGGUGGCAAGCGUUGUCCGGAAUUAUUGGGCGUAAAGCGCGCGCAGGCGGUCCUUUAAGUCUGAUGUGAAAGCCCACGGCUCAACCGUGGAGGGUCAUUGGAAACUGGGGGACUUGAGUGCAGAAGAGGAAGCGGAAUUCCACGUGUAGCGGUGAAAUGCGUAGAGAUGUGGAGGAACACCAGUGGCGAAGGCGGCUUUCUGGUCUGUAACUGACGCUGAGGCGCGAAAGCGUGGGGAGCAAACAGGAUUAGAUACCCUGGUAGUCCACGCCGUAAACGAUGAGUGCUAAGUGUUAGAGGGUUUCCGCCCUUUAGUGCUGCAGCUAACGCAUUAAGCACUCCGCCUGGGGAGUACGGCCGCAAGGCUGAACUCAAAGGAAUUGACGGGGGCCCGCACAAGCGGUG